GGGUAACUUUACAGCACUGACAAUUGCCAAACCUCUUGUUCCAAUUUUUCCCCUCCUUCCCCCCAACCCCUCCCCUAGAUGGCAGGAUGACCAGUAGAUGUUAAAUAUAUUAAAAUAUAAAUUAGAUACACAAUAAGUAUACAUGACCAAACCGUUAUUUUGCUGUACAAAAAGAAUCAGACUCUGAAAUAUUGUACAAUUAGCCUGUGAAGGAAAUCAAAAAUGCAGGUGGGCAAAAAUAUGGGGAUUGGGAAUUCAAUGUAAUGUUUUUAGUCAUCUCCCAGAGUUCUUUCUCUGGGCAUAGCUGGUUCAGUUCAUUACUGCUCCAUUGGAACUGAUUUGGUUCAUCUCAUUGCUGAGAAUGGCCAGGUCCAUCAGAACUGGUCAUCAUAUAUGCAAUUCAUUUCUAAUCUAUUUUCCCAUCAUCUAAGCUAAAAGCAGAAGGUAGCAACAGGAGCCUUUACAAAAUAAAAUCACAGAUUUAGAGCAAGAAAAAAAUCCUACACUUUCUAGAUUACAAAGAAGAAAACUAGAUCAUUUAGUGCAUAAAUUGGAUGACUAGAAAAUACUCCCCAAAAGCAAUCUGUGUAUAUGGCCUGGCCUUUCUAAUAGAUUAAAUAAUGCUUCCUGGUUUAUAACAAUUUUCAAUUAUGUAAUAAUCUUCAGUGAAAAAGGAAACUAUCCAUUCUAGAAAGUGGAAGUUGUCCAUUCGCCCUGAAAAUGACUGGAUGAUUCAGGUUUAAUCUAAAGAAUUUUCAUUAUACUGUAUUGUACAAAUGUCUCAGUUUUGAUAAUUAAUUUUUUUCCCAUUGAAAUAUUAUUUAAAACGCAUCCACCAACGUUCUCCCUUGUUUACAAUUCUUUCAGAAAUUACUUUAUAAAAAUUUUCAUAGUAUUAAAAAAAAAGAUACAGAAAAUGUAAAGUGAAAAUUUGACUUUGUUUUAAAAAUCAGCAUUAUAAUUAUUCACAAACACAAUAACUCCCUAGACACAGGCUCGAUAAGACCCGAAAACUACUUUCCCCUAAAUAUUUAAUAACAGUAUAAGACGGCUGGCUCGGCCCCAUCGCUCCUCUCCGGGACUUCACUCGGCCGAACCAUGUUUCCGUCUUGACCAGAAGACUUCCCUCUCCCUCAGCCCUCUCACGUCAGCCAGGACACGAGAAGGCGGGGCUGGGGCCCGUUUGCGUGGUCAUGCUCGUUGGCGUUGCCUGACGCUGCCCGGCUGCGGUCUCCCGCGGUUGGGUCCCCGCUUCGAAGGAUGGGGGAUGUCGGGUUGCGGUCCUCCUUCAUUAAGCCGGUCUCCCGUCCAAUCCUCAGGGCUGGGGGUCGCGGGGGGUUAUGAGGCUGGAGCGCCUCCCUCACGUCCCCCUUUCUGGACCUUGAUUCCACUUUUCUCACCUGUGGCACUUUACUCUUUAAUCUUGUCUCCCGAAAAAAACCUUAGGCUCCCUUUGUUAAGAAGCUUCCUCAGCAAUGGCCUUAGGAAGAGGAUAAAGCCUCGCGAGCUGCUUCUGCCUGGCGAGUGCCCGUUUGGAGGAAAA
rnacentral:lncRNA from 1 species